ensembl:lncRNA
CAAUUAAGUUCACUUGCAUUUAGUCCCAAAAUCAUUCUCAGUGUCCCAAAAUGGGACGGCUCUCCCUUUUUUGAUUAGAAAAAAAACCCACAAAUAGCAGGACAGACAUUCAUUUCUUCCUCCUGCCUUAUUAACAGGUUACGGUAUUUAUGUGAGAUUUGUCUAUGUUAUGUAAGACUAUGUUAUGGAUACAAGAUAGUUUUAAAUAACUGAAGCAAAAAGGAUGUAUUUAGAUUUCUUAGUGGAUAUAUUAGAAACAGGAAAGCAAGACCUGACGGUAGACAGUGAUAAUUUCCCUUGUCCUUGUGCCACAAGAAGCCAUUGCCUCUUAUUGCUUCCCAAGUUGAACACUUUGAAAGGAAAGCAUAUAAUGUCUCCUCUUCUGUGGAGAUAUUUCACUGACUUGCUGCAAGCUUCAAAGAAUCAUAGUGAGAUACGUGGGUAAACUGGCACAUUAACAAACCACCCCUCGCCCAUUUCUCAGAGGAUACUUAUUUCUUCUUCAUAUUCUUACACUGUGGAGUAAGUUAUAAAGUCUGAGUAGGCUGUGCCCCAAACUUCCACACUACUUCUGCUAUUACAUUAAUGCAGUAUUUGUUGGCUUGACUCUAUCGACAGAACACAACUGUAGCGUCAGAGAUAAUGAAUACAUGAAAAGUUAAAACCAGUGAGAAGCAAAGCCUUCUGAGAAGAUUGUAGCUACCUUGGGAAAUAGCCUGGCCCUUCCAAAACUGCACUGGGACUGGAGAUUUUUAGCAUGGACAUGGCAGCUUUAAGUUGUGAUCUUUACCUACACAGAGCUAUAGGGGUUAAGGGCCUGGGCUCUCCUGGGUCUUCUCAGUAUUUCAGAGUGGAUCCACGAAGCACCUAUACUGACUCCCAACCCAGGAGGUAGUGUGAGGAAAUACUGCUGGUCCUGGAACCUUCUUACUAAAUCUGGGCCAUCAUGGAGACAAGAAUGUGUGAUCUGUUUCUUAAGACCCAAAGGACUGGAUAUUUGACUUCCAAAAACAAAGGUGAGGCUAUCAUCCCUCCAGUCGGUUUCUCCUUCCCUCACACUUAAGGGCACGGUUAGAGAAUGCAGCUGAAUCAAAUACCACCAUAAGAGUAUCACUUUUACGAAUAAUAUUCUCUGCUAACAAAUGAGUCCUGCUUCCUCCUCCUGACCGUCCCCUCCCUCGCUCCACAAAGUUCAUUACCAAUGAACUCUGGAGAACUAUUGCUUUUCGCCCCCGAUGGAACCCCACCAGCCCAGCACACCUCCCAAGGAGCCUCCCCUCGCCCAGGACUACACCCGGCGGACCAAUCGCCCCCGGCUACGGGAGGGCAGCUCCGCGCAUGCGCAGCAGCUGCCGAACCCCUCCUCCCACCCGAGGGCUUCCGAACCCUUCCGAAGCCCCCAUCGUGGCACGCAUGCGCGCUGGGCAGCGGGCAGUCUUCCCAACGUCCUUCUG